rnacentral:rRNA from 1 species
CUCAGGAUGAACGCUAGCGGGAGGCCUAACACAUGCAAGCCGAGCGGUAUUGUUUCUUCGGAAAUGAGAGAGCGGCGUACGGGUGCGGAACACGUGUGCAACCUGCCUUUAUCUGGGGGAUAGCCUUUCGAAAGGAAGAUUAAUACUCCAUAAUAUAUUGAACGGCAUCGUUUAAUAUUGAAAGCUCCGGCGGAUAGAGAUGGGCACGCGCAAGAUUAGCUAGUUGGUGAGGUAACGGCUCACCAAGGCAAUGAUCUUUAGGGGGCCUGAGAGGGUGAUCCCCCACACUGGUACUGAGACACGGACCAGACUCCUACGGGAGGCAGCAGUGAGGAAUAUUGGUCAAUGGGUGCAAGCCUGAACCAGCCAUCCCGCGUGAAGGACGACUGCCCUAUGGGUUGUAAACUUCUUUUGUAUAGGGAUAAACCUUUCCACGUGUGGAAAGCUGAAGGUACUAUACGAAUAAGCACCGGCUAACUCCGUG